rnacentral:rRNA from 1 species
CCCUUAGAUGUCCCGGGCCGCACGCGCGUUACACUGAUGCAUUCAACGAGCUUAUAACCUUGGCCGAGAGGCCUGGGCAAUCUUGUUAACGUGCAUCGUGAUAGGGAUAGAUUAUUGAAAUUAUUAAUCUUGAACGAGGAAUUCCUAGUAAACGCAGAUCAUCAAUCUGCAUUGAUUACGUCCCUGCCCUUUGUACACACCGCCCGUCGCACCUACCGAUUGGAUGGUCCGGUGAAGCCUCGGGAUUGUGGUUCUUGCCGCUUUAUUGUGGCGUGACCGCGAGAACUUGUCUAAACCUUAUCAUCUAGAGGAAGGUGAAAUCGUAACA